rnacentral:lncRNA from 1 species
AGAGUCAUUCCUUGCCUAUUUCACACCUUCAUGUGCAUUUAUCUUUGCUGCACUAAUUUGUGGUGACAUAAUGUCCAUACCCACAAGAAAUGGUUGGUUCAAUCUUGAGUACAAAUCCUUGGGCAAUGGAAUUAUAAUUUUGAUUAAUGUUAUUAAGUUGAAUUGUCACUUAAGCUUAUAAGUUAAGGGGAAAGGCACAUCUUUCAAUCUUAGUAUCCCAAAGCAAUCAACUUGCAAUCUCAG